UCAAGUAAUUAAGUGCAUGUGGUGGAUGCCUUGGCAGUCAGAGGCGAUGAAAGACGUGAUAGCCUGCGAAAAGCUCCGGGGAGGCGGCAAAUAUCCUUUGAUCCGGAGAUGUCUGAAUGGGGGAACCCACCUACUUUAAGGUAGGUAUUGCAACAUGAAUACAUAGUGUUGCAAGGCGAACGAGGGGAAGUGAAACAUCUCAGUACCCUUAGGAAAAGAAAUCAAUUGAGAUUCCCUCAGUAGCGGCGAGCGACGGGGAUCAGCCCAUUAAGUUAUGUGUGUUUUAGUGGAACGCUCUGGGAAGUGCGAACGUAGAGGGUGAUAUUCCCGUACACGAAAGGGCACACAUAAUGAUGACGAGUAGGGCGAGGCACGUGAAACCUUGUCUGAAUAUGGGGGACCAUCCUCCAAGGCUAAAUACUCCUGACUGACCGAUAGUGAACCAGUACCGUGAGGGAAAGGCGAAAAGAACCCCUGUGAGGGAGUGAAAUAGAUCCUGAAACCGCAUGCAUACAAGCAGUGGGAGCACCUUCGUGGUGUGACUGCGUACCUUUUGUAUAAUGGGUCAGCGACUUAUAUUCAGUAGCGAGGUUAACCGUAUAGGGGAGCCGUAGAGAAAUCGAGUCUUAAUAGGGCGUUUAGUUGCUGGGUAUAGACCCGAAACCAGGCGAUCUAUCCAUGAGCAGGUUGAAGGUUGGGUAACACUAACUGGAGGACCGAACCCACUGUCGUUGAAAAGCCAGGGGAUGACUUGUGGAUAGGGGUGAAAGGCUAAUCAAGCCUGGUGAUAGCUGGUUCUCCCCGAAAGCUAUUUAGGUAGCGCCUCGGACGAAUACCAUAGGGGGUAGAGCACUGUUUCGGCUAGGGGGUCAUCCCGACUUACCAAACCGAUGCAAACUCCGAAUACCUAUGAGUACUAUCCGGGAGACAGACUGCGGGUGCUAACGUCCGUAGUCAAGAGGAAAACAAUCCAGACCGCCAGCUAAGGCCCCAAAAUCAUAGUUAAGUGGGAAACGAUGUGGGAAGGCAUAGACAGCUAGGAGGUUGGCUUAGAAGCAGCCACCCUUUAAAGAAAGCGUAAUAGCUCACUAGUCGAGUCGGCCUGCGCGGAAGAUGUAACGGGGCUAAAACUAUGUGCCGAAGCUGCGGAUGUAUACUUUGUAUACGUGGUAGGGGAGCGUUCUGUAAGCCGAUGAAGGUGUGUUGAGAAGCAUGCUGGAGGUAUCAGAAGUGCGAAUGCUGACGUGAGUAACGACAAAACGGGUGAAAAACCCGUUCGCCGAAAGACCAAGGGUUCCAGUCCAACGUUAAUCGGGGCUGGGUGAGUCGACCCCUAAGGCGAGGCCGAAAGGCGUAGUCGAUGGGAAAAUGGUUAAUAUUCCAUUACUUCUGUGUAAUGCGAUGAGAGGACGGAGAAGGCUAAAUCAGCCUGGCGUUGGUUGUCCAGGUGAAAGGAUGUAGGCAUGUAUCUUAGGCAAAUCCGGGGUACUCUAUGCUGAGAUCUGAUAGCAAGCUGUACUUGUACAGCGAAGUGGUUGAUGCCAUGCUUCCAGGAAAAGUCUCUAAGCUUCAGUUACACAGGAAUCGUACCCGAAACCGACACAGGUGGUCAGGUCGAGUAGACCAAGGCGCUUGAGAGAACUCUGCUGAAGGAACUAGGCAAAAUGGUACCGUAACUUCGGGAGAAGGUACGCUGUUGUUGGUGAUGGAACUCGCUUCCUGAGCUGACGACAGCCGCAGAAACCAGGCCGCUGCAACUGUUUAUUAAAAACAUAGCACUCUGCAAACACGAAAGUGGACGUAUAGGGUGUGAUGCCUGCCCGGUGCUGGAAGGUUAAUUGAUGGGGUUAGCGUAAGCGAAGCUCUUGAUCGAAGCCCCAGUAAACGGCGGCCGUAACUAUAACGGUCCUAAGGUAGCGAAAUUCCUUGUCGGGUAAGUUCCGACCUGCACGAAUGGCAUAAUGAUGGCGGCGCUGUCUCCAGCAGAGGCUCAGUGAAAUCGAAAUCGCUGUGAAGAUGCAGUGUACCCGCGGCUAGACGGAAAGACCCCGUGAACCUUUACUGCAGCUUGACACUGAACUUUGACCUUACUUGUGUAGGAUAGGUGGGAGGCUUUGAAGCUGGAACGCUAGUUCCAGUGGAGCCGUCCUUGAAAUACCACCCUGGUAAUGUUGAGGUUCUAACUCUGUCCCGUGAUCCGGGACGAGGACCGUGUCUGGUGGGUAGUUUGACUGGGGCGGUCUCCUCCUAAAGAGUAACGGAGGAGUACGAAGGUGCGCUCAGCGUGGUCGGAAAUCACGCGUAGAGUAUAAAGGCAAAAGCGCGCUUAACUGCGAGACCCACAAGUCGAGCAGGUACGAAAGUAGGUCUUAGUGAUCCGGUGGUUCUGUAUGGAAGGGCCAUCGCUCAACGGAUAAAAGGUACUCUGGGGAUAACAGGCUGAUACCGCCCAAGAGUUCAUAUCGACGGCGGUGUUUGGCACCUCGAUGUCGGCUCAUCUCAUCCUGGGGCUGAAGCAGGUCCCAAGGGUAUGGCUGUUCGCCAUUUAAAGAGGUACGCGAGCUGGGUUUAGAACGUCGUGAGACAGUUCGGUCCCUAUCUACCGUGGGCGCUGGAAAUUUGAGAGGAUCUGCUCCUAGUACGAGAGGACCAGAGUGGACGAACCUCUGGUGUACCGGUUGUGACGCCAGUCGCAUCGCCGGGUAGCUAUGUUCGGAAGGGAUAACCGCUGAAAGCAUCUAAGCGGGAAGCCUACCUCAAGAUAAGAUUUCCCUAGGACUUUAUGUCCUCUAAAGAGCCGUUCGAGACUAGGACGUUGAUAGGUUGGAUGUGGAAGCAUAGUGAUAUGUGAAGCUGACCAAUACUAAUUGCUCGUGAGGCUUGACUAU
rnacentral:rRNA from 1 species